rnacentral:misc_RNA from 1 species
UAAACACGAUUCGUUCAGUCAG